GAUGAACGCUGGCGGCGUGCCUGAUACAUGCGAGUCGAACGAAGCUUCUUUAUCACCGAGUGCUUGCACUCACCGAUAAAGAGUUGAGUGGCGAACGGGUGAGUAACACGUGGGCAACCUGCCCAAAAGAGGGGGAUAACACUUGGAAACAGGUGCUAAUACCGCAUAACCAUAGUUACCGCAUGGUAACUAUGUAAAAGGUGGCUAUACUACCGCUUUUGGAUGGGCCCGCGGCGCAUUAGCUAGUUGGUAGGGUAAAGGCUUACCAAGGCAAUGAUGCGUAGCCGAAUUGAGAGGUUGAUCGGCCACAUUGGGACUGAGACACGGCCCAAACUCCUACGGGAGGCAGCAGUAGGGAAUCUUCCACAAUGGGCGAAAGCCUGAUGGAGCAACGCCGCGUGGGUGAAGAAGGUCUUCGGAUCGUAAAACCCUGUUGUUAGAGAAGAAAGUGCGUGAGAGUAACUGUUCACGUUUCGACGGUAUCUAACCAGAAAGCCACGGCUAACUACGUG
rnacentral:rRNA from 1 species